rnacentral:tRNA from 1 species
GGGGUUGUGGCUUAGUGGUAGAGUGCUUGCCUUGUAUGUGCAAGACUGUGGGUUCAAUCCUCAGCACCA